rnacentral:rRNA from 1 species
GUUCCUUGGAAAAGGACAGCUGAGAGGGUGAAACUCCCGUCCGCCUGGUAGAGUGAGUCUUUGUCAACGAGUCGAGUUGUUUGGGAUUGCAGCUCUAAUUUGGUGGUAAAUUCCAUCUAAAGCUAAAUAUUGGUGGGAGACCGAUAGCGUACAAGUACCGUGAGGGAAAGAUGCAAAGAACUUUGAAAAGAGAGUUAAAGAGUACCUGAAAUUGCUGAAACGGAAGCGAAGGAAACCAGUGUUUGUUGGUUCAUAUUUCCCUGGCCACUUGUGGUUUGGGCGCUGUGAGCUUUCGUGGGUUUGGGUUGGUUGAUCCCUUUGGAAGAGCGCAGUCAGAGUUGAUGUCU